GGACCCGCACAAGCGGUGGAUGAUGUGGAUUAAUUCGAUGCAACGCGAAAAACCUUACCUACCCUUGACAUGUCCGGAAUCCUGCAGAGAUGCGGGAGUGCCCGAAAGGGAAUCGGAACACAGGUGCUGCAUGGCUGUCGUCAGCUCGUGUCGUGAGAUGUUGGGUUAAGUCCCGCAACGAGCGCAACCCUUAUCAUUAGUUGCUACGCAAGGGCACUCUAAUGAGACUGCCGGUGACAAACCGGAGGAAGGUGGGGAUGACGUCAAGUCCUCAUGGCCCUUAUGGGUAGGGCUUCACACGUCAUACAAUGGUCGGUACAGAGGGUUGCCAAGCCGCGAGGUGGAGCCAAUCCCAGAAAGCCGAUCGUAGUCCGGAUUGUUCUCUGCAACUCGAGAGCAUGAAGUCGGAAUCGCUAGUAAUCGCGGAUCAGCAUGUCGCGGUGAAUACGUUCCCGGGUCUUGUACACACCGCCCGUCACACCAUGGGAGUGGAAUCUGGCAGAAGUAGGUAGCCUAACCGCAAGGAGGGCGCUUACCACGCUGGGUUUCAUGACUGGGGUGAAGUCGUAACAAGGUAGCCGUAGGGGAACCUGCGGCU
rnacentral:rRNA from 1 species